rnacentral:lncRNA from 1 species
CCUCCAAGACCACCCGUGAGAACUCCUAUAUUACCCCAUGUCAACCAAGUAACCAUCUAAUCAGCUUAGAAUCCUCUAAUAUCGUGUGGAUGUGAUACCGCCGUAGGUACUCUCAUAAACCGUUCAAAAAAAGGACAGCAUUUCCAGCACAUUCCCUUAAAAAAAUUAACUAAAACAUAUUACAACGCGGAAGUUUCACCUUAACUAGCUCUGUUGGACAUAAUCUAUAACACACAAGCGUUACAUAUCUAUCGAUGCAUACUUGAAAUACACCCUUUCGAUAUAUAUCUAUAUAAACUGGAUGUGAAGGAAAAAAAGAUCGAAAUUGGGAUUGAAAAGUGAGUACCUUGACGGUAUCAAAAGUAUGGCCGACGGCUACGGUGGCGAGACC